rnacentral:piRNA from 1 species
UGCCAGGAAAUAAGGUGUUUAUCUUGUUGA